UACGAAGGGGGCUAGCGUUGCUCGGAAUCACUGGGCGUAAAGGGUGCGUAGGCGGGUCUUUAAGUCAGGGGUGAAAUCCUGGAGCUCAACUCCAGAACUGCCUUUGAUACUGAAGAUCUUGAGUUCGGGAGAGGUGAGUGAAACUGCGAGUGUAGAGGUGAAAUUCGUAGAUAUUCGCAAGAACACCAGUGGCGAAGGCGGCUCACUGGCCCGAUACUGACGCUGAGGCACGAAAGCGUGGGGAGCAAACAGG
rnacentral:rRNA from 1 species